AUGUACCUUUGUACUGCAGGCCAGCAAGGUCAACCUGGAGCAAAUGAGGUCCUGUUGUGGAGGAGAGGCUUUCUGCAUGAGCUGUGCCACAGGUCACAGCUGGUAAAAAGGUUAUUCAAGUCCUUAAGAAGAAUUACUGCAUCUUCCGUUGACCUGAUAAUUGGUAUAUGGUUGCUGGGGGUAAUUGUGCUGGCUGCCAGUCAGGCUCGUGAAGUCGGUGCCCCUGUGAACCUCCACGCCACGCAGGUAUGUGCGGAGCAGAGAGGAGACAGCAAGUAUGAGCUAGUAUUGUUCUCUAGCAAGGGUCAAAACACUAAAUAAAAAUAUAAUAAUAGCAGCAGUGACAACCACUUAGUGACUGCUUGAGGGAGCACCUACGCAGGCGUAUGCAGCAUCAGGGCCUGGAUUCCCAAAGGAAGAGGGAAUCAGAAGCCCAGGCACACCCCUGGUAGCUUUAAGUGAGGACUGAUUUAUUUCAACCUUUCCAGCUACUCUGCCUCACAUACGUGUGUCAAGGCUCCAUUCAAGGCAUGUCCUUUUGCAACUUCCUGAGCAAAUAGUCAUUUUUCUUCUAAAUACAAUUAAGGUUGUAGUGUAGAGAAUAAUUUGGGUAUCUCCUGAUGAUUCCUAGCUAGGUAAUUGCAGUGAUUCGUGGAGAAAAUACCAGCAAGCUUGACUUGAAAAAUCAGUCUCACUUUGUGUACGUUUUUUUCAUACCAAACUAAAACCAGCAGUCUUUCCAGAAGCUAAGAGACUCUCAGGCAACUGUCUUUUCUGUACAUGUGUCAGUAUAAGCAUGUGCAUUUGUUCUUGCAUGUCGAGUUCAUUGUUUUAUUACCUUCAGCUUGCAUUUCUUAAAAACAAAUGGUGAUGCUGCACUCAGAAUUGCCUGCUGUCCCCAACGCCUGCUCUGAAAAAUGAGGAUAAUAGACCUUCAUUAAAACUUGAUUCAGAGGCAAGUUUGUAUGCUGAACUUGGCUGUUGCAAGUUUCCUUGGUGAAAGCUGUGGGAAAACACACGCUUAAAAACCUUCUCAAAUCAAGCUCAAGGUACCUUAUGGCUUUGUCCUUUUCAAGACAGCUUUCUGACUUUGAAGGCACCCAUCGACAUGCUGUCCAUGGCACACGUUCUCUAAAAUUUCUGCAGGAUGCUUACGUUAUCCUUCUGCAUCUGCAAAUAUUUAAUUAAUAAACUUACCAGAGACUCAAAUUAGAAUUAUGUA
rnacentral:lncRNA from 1 species